rnacentral:rRNA from 1 species
UACGGGGGGGCAAGCGUUGUUCGGAAUUACUGGGCGUAAAGGGUUCGUAGGUGGCCGACUAAGUCAAACGUGAAAUCCCUCAGCUUAACUGGGGAACUGCGUCUGAUACUGGUCGGCUUGAGUGCAGGAGAGGAACGCGGAAUUCCAGGUGUAGCGGUGAAAUGCGUAGAUAUCUGGAGGAACACCGGUGGCGAAGGCGGCGUUCUGGACUGCAACUGACACUGAGGAACGAAAGCCAGGGGAGCAAACGGG